GACGAACGCUGGCGGCGUGCUUAACACAUGCAAGUCGAACGGAAAGGCCCUGCUUUUGUGGGGUGCUCGAGUGGCGAACGGGUGAGUAACACGUGAGUAACCUGCCCUUUACUUUGGGAUAACUUCAGGAAACUUGGGCUAAUACCGGAUAGUAUCUCCUGCUGCAUGGUGGGGGUUGGAUAGUUUCGGCGGUUGGGGAUGGUCUCGCGGCUUCUCAUCUUGUUUGUGGGGUAGUGGCUUACCAAGGCUUUGACGGGUAGCCGGCCUGAGAGGGUGACCGGCCACAUUGGGACUGAGAUACGGACCAGACUCCAACGGGAGGCAGCAGAGGGGAAUAUUGCACAAUGGGAGGAAGCCUGAUGAAGCAACGCCGCGUGCGGGAUGACGGCCUUCGGGUUGUAAACAGAUUUCGACUGUGACGAAGCGUGAGUGACGGUAAUGGGUAAAGAAGCACCGGCUAACUACGUG
rnacentral:rRNA from 1 species